GUUUCUUUCUUCUUUUACUGCCAUAUCAUCGCUUCCCUCCCUCUCUUACCUUCUCCUUCAGUUUCAAACAAAAAAACCUUCAGCCAUCACGCCGCCAUGCCUCCGACGGCAUUCGCUGCGGCUAUAAACACAAAAACCAACGCAGAGAUGAUGAAUCUCCACAGCAGCGAUGAAGAAGACGACGGCGGCGCCGCCACACCUAGGAAAUGGAUGGAAGGAGGCGAAUCUGAAAGGGGUCGAGUGGAAAUCAUAACGGAGAAUCUCCAAAAAAUCAAGGAUUCCGCGAUGUGAAGAGCGAAUCGAGCAACAACAACCUUCAAUCGGCGGAAGUGACGAUGAUGAGCGGCGGUGGAAAGCUUUUCAGGCGAGCUCUUCUUCUUUCUUUUCGUUUUAGGGUUUAUUCUCUGGGUCUGCAAAGACUAUAAAUGAACAUGGAUAGAUUUUAGGGUUUUCUAGAAAUUUUUGUCAAAAAGCUACGUUGGAAUGUUUGUGAAUAGCUUUAGGUUAUAAAUUUAGGGUUUUUCUUCUAUUCUUGUGUAAAAGCUACGCUCUGAGUUUUUGUUCUGUGUAAAAGCAUCGAAGAAUUUGUAGAAAAUAGAGAGUGAUGAAGGUUCUGCGGUUUUAAGAUUCAAAGAAUGGUGAUGAAGAUCUUGCAGAGGAUAGGGAGAGUUUUCUUGGUGAGUUUCUCCCGAUUGUUGAAGAAUUAGAGUGAUUUGCAAUUAUAUGUUCUAGGUUCGAUUGACAAAGAAAUUGGCUCUAAAUCAACUCGUCGGAGUUGCACGUCGACACCGCGAUUUAUAAAAUAGGUCAUUUAAUAUAUGCUUUGCCAAACAUUCAAAAGAGGUGACAGGGUAAUUAGUAUAUAUAACUGAUUCAUAUGCUUUAUAUGGUAUAAACUUGUUUGGUUUCUUGUGCUUUUUCACAAUUGAUAAUUUCUCUUAAUAUAGAUUUUUGACUUAUUUGAUAUAAAGCACAACGGAGUUAUUGAGUUUGGCGAAUUCGUUAGAUCUCUUGGUGUUUUUCAUCCAAACGCACCUUUAGAAGAUAAUUUUACUGGAGAACUACCCGUUAAUUACAUUCGCCAAGCUCACUACAUUGACAGAAUUGUAAGCUUCAAAUAUUUGUAGUGGUGUUUAUUGAUUACUAAAUUCUUUUUCACGAUACUUCAAAUUGAUACAUAUUUGGUCGGUUCCAUUUUUUUGAUAGUAGCAGGAACUAUGGUUGGUUCUCUCGAGUAAGAUAUUCUUUCUUAUAAACAUAUGACAUCUUGUAAAUUUUACAGUUGAGGUUCGUGUUCUUAAUCUUAUCCUAUGUUGCAGUGAAUCAGGUUAUUUUUUCUCGUUCGAUUUUCUACGAUGGCGUGUCUCUAGUACUCAAUGUUGAUGGUAUUCUAAGUAGAAAAACUCCACCAAGGCUCUGGUUGAACUUCCAGGUUAUCUCCCUCUCUAUCUCGUGACACUAAUAAUAACCCGCGUAAUCAUUCUAUGACACUUUCUUAUGUUGAAAUUGAUUGUUCUACUGCAGUACAAAGAGUUU